GAUGAAGAACGUAGCGAAAUGCGAUAAGUAAUGUGAAUUGCAGAGUUCAGUGAAUCAUCGAAUCUUUGAACGCACAUUGCGCCCGCCAGUAUUCUGGCGAGCAUGCCUGUUCGAGCGUCAUUUCAACCAUCAAGCCCCAGGCUUGUGUUGGAGCCCUGCGGCUGCCGCAGCCUCCCAAAACCAGUGGCGGGCUCGCUAUCACACCGAGUGCAGUAGUUUACUCUUCGCUCAGGGCGUGUGGCGGGUGCUAGCCGUGAAACCCCCAACUUCUCAAGGUUGACCUCGGAUCAGGUAGGAAUACCCGCUGAACUUAAGCAUAUCAAUAAGCGGAGGA
rnacentral:misc_RNA from 1 species